rnacentral:lncRNA from 1 species
CAUCCAUGUACUUACAAAUUUUCCCCUGAGGCAAGUACUCCAAAAGCCCGAUGCCUCGGGAAGAUUGUUGAAAUGGGCAGUGGAACUAAGUGAAUUUGACCUUGUGUUCAAAGCUAGGGCAGCCAUCAAAGGGCAAGCUUUAGCUGACUUUGUUGCUGAAUUCGCCAACCUACCCGAGGUGGAUGAAAUCAUGGAAUCCGUCGAACCCCCCACGUGGAGCCUCUUCGUCGAUGGCUCAGCUGGGGAGGUCGGCUCAGGUGCCGGGGUUGUCCUCAUCAGCCCCGAGGGUCACAAACUCACCUCGGCCGUGAGGUUCGGAUUCAAAGCCACCAACAAUGUUGCAGAGUAUGAAGCACUCCUUGCAGGCCUCAGACUGGCCAAGGAAAUGCAAGUAAAGAAGCUACUCGUCAGUAGUGACUCCCAGCUGGUUGUUAGCCAAGUCAAUGGUAAUUUCUCAGCCAAAGACAAAACAAUGGCCUCCUAUCUGAAAAUGGUGAUGAGCAUCAUCCCAUCCUUUGAAAAGUUGGAGUUAACCCAAACUCCCCGCAUCGAAAAUGCUCAUGCGGAUGCACUCUCGAAACUGGCUAGUAGCAAAGACUCAGAGCUACUCACUGUAGUGCCUAUCGAGCACCUCCUAUUGCCUUCUAUCGAGGCCCCUAAUGUCAUGUGGGUCGGUGGAACUCUCACCUGGAUGCAACCAAUUAUAGCAUAUCAGAAAGACCAGGUGCUGCCCACCAACAAGAAUGAGGCUUAUAAACUGAGAAGGAGGUCAACCCACUUUCUCUUCAUCGAUGACAUUCUCUACAAGAGAAGUUUCUCCUCUCCACUCUUACGAUGCGUCGGAGGAAAAGAGGCUACCUACAUACUGAGAGAAGUCCACGAGGGAGUGUGCGGCAACCACUCUGGAGGCCUAUCUCUGGCACAAAAAAUACUAAGGCAAGGGUACUACUGGCCUACCCUGAAAUGGGAUGCCCUCGAAUUUGUGCGAAAAUGUGAUAAAUGCCAACGAUUCUCUCCCUUUCAAAGACGACCAUCACAGGAUCUGACUGCAGUCUCCAGCCCCUGGCCUUUCUCAAAGUGGGUGUGGACCUCAUAGGCCCUCUACCUAAGGGAAGAGGAGGUGCAAGUUUUGCAAUAGUGGCCAUUGAUUACUUCACAAAGUAGGUCGAAGUUGAACCACUGGCAAAAAUCACAGAAGCCAACACCUCCAAGUUCCUAUGGAAGAAUAUAAUUUGUCGGUUCGGAAUUCCCUACUCGAUCAUCUCAGAUAAUGGCAGGCAAUUCGAUAACAAGAAGGUUAGAGAACUGUGUGAAGACCUUGGCAUAAAGAAGCACUUCUCUACACCUCACCACCCACAAGCUAAUGGCCAAGUUGAAGCCGUAAACAAGACAAUCAAGCACGUCCUGAAAAGGAAGCUCGAUGUAUCCAAGGGAGCUUGGGUUGAUGAACUGCCCCAAGUACUUUGGGCAAUCCGAACCACCACCAGGACCCCAACGGGGGAGACCCCUUUUCUCAUGGCUUUUGGGACUGAGGCAAUGAGCCCCGUUGAGGUCAGACUCCCAUCUCCACGUCGUCUGCACUUCAGCGAAGUGACCAACGACGAGCUCCGGAGGCUCGACCUCGAUUUCAUUGAGAAGAGGAGGGAUGACUCCCAGCUGAGACUAGGCACCUAUCAAAGAAAGAUGACAAGGUACUUCAACUCCAAAGUGAAGAAGAAGUCAUUCCGAAUCAACGAUCUUGUGCUCAGGAGGGUCUUCCCAUCUUCAAAAGAACCUGGUUCCGGUUCCCUGGGGCCAAACUGGGAAGGUCCAUACAAGAUCAUAGAAGAAAUCCGACCUGGAACCUACUGGAUUGAAGACAUGGACAGCAAGGCACAACCCUGUCCAUGGAACAUUGAACACCUCAGAAUCUUUUAUCAAUAAAUUGUAUCAUGCUGGAUGACUUUUCCAGCCUUUGUAAUAUUUUUAUGGCUCAAUAAAAUGCAUUAAUUAAAUCGUGUCUUACUGCGUCGUCACCUCGGAGGAGAGGCUCGGGACCCACCUCUAGGCCACCUCGCUUGAACUCCGAGGUGCUAGCACAUGCCUCCCUUUAGCCUUGCUGAACGCCAAGGAGAGAAGCCUCAACAUGGCUUCACCAUCCACCAUGUCUGGGAUGCGUCGUCACCUCGGAAGAGAGGCUCGGGACUCACCUCUGGGCCACCUCGCUUGAACUCCGAGGCGCUAGCACAUACCUCCCUUUGGCCUUGCUGAACGCCGAGGGGAGAAGCCUCAACAUGGCUGCACCAUCCACCAUGUCUGGGAUGCGUCGUCACCUCGGAGGAGAGGCUCGGGACCCACCUCUGGGCCACCUCGCUUGAACUCCGAGGCGCUAGCACAUGCCUCCCUUUGGCCUUGCUGAACGCCGAGGGGAGAAGCCUCAACAUGGCUGCACCAUCCACCAUGUCUGGGAUGCGUCGUCACCUCGGAGGAGAGGCUCGG